GGCCGGGCGCGCUCCCUUCUGGGCGAGCACGUGCGAGGCGCGCGCCAUGGAACGGCCCUUAGCUGAGUUUCGGUUUGCGCCGAAACUGCCGGCCUGGCGGCCCAACGCAGCAUUUCCAGCCAGGACGCAUAAACCUCGGGAGAGAAGGUGGAAGCCGCAGCGACUCUAAAGGCAGCCCCCGGCUGACUAAAGCUGUUCUUGGCUGGAGAGCUGUGGUGUGAUCUCGGCUCACUGCAACCUCCCCUCCCGGGUUCAAGCAAUUCUCCUACCUCAGCCUCCCAAGUAGCUGGGACUACAGUUAAAAAACAAUGUCUAACCCACGCAAUGAGCUUUUGACUAUAUGCCUCAUUUCAAAAGGAAUAUGAGAUCAUUGAGUUGGACCCAGAGAAACUGAACUCAGAGAAAACUUCCAUUAUCGUGAACCCAAAAGCUGAUGGCCAGACAAAAGGAUGAGAGGAAAUGCUGGACCUCCAGUUUGUUAUUAAUUGCUCUUUUUUGUUUUGUUUUGUUUUUAUUGAAGUGGAGUCUCUCUCUUUCACCCAGGCUGGAGUGCAGUGGUGCAAUGUCGGCUCACUGCAACCUCUGCUAUCCAGGCCUGUCAUACUUUCUCCUUCCUAGGAAAUUGCUGAUGAUGAAGGGAUCAAGAAACUGUAAUAUAUAUUCACAAAGAAAUAUUCUUUGGCCAUCAAGAUAA
rnacentral:lncRNA from 1 species